CAGGAAACUGCAGACGAGCCACAGGGCCUCCCGGUCAGUGUUACAUGGGGCUACUGCUCCUGUAAACAAUGGCCGCCCACUUUUCCCUCCUGUCCGGCACUUGUCUUUUCAGCAUAACCCAGAUGGCAAACGUGCGUGCUCUCUCAGUGCUGUGGACACAGAGCUGCCUCGCAUAUCACCACUCAGCCCAUCCAGAACAACACAGCACAUGCUGCCCCCUGCAGGCUGGCUACACAAACCACACAUGACUGACCCCUCCAUCAGAGACAUGCAACUCCAACCACUCCUAAAAAACAUACAAAGCAACAUGGAUUCCUCUAAGUCCUUACAACAGAGGCCAGCUGGCUACCUGACUGAUAUCCAGUGUAACCGUGGUGACCUCCAUCCACACUCAUCACAGGGACUGAAGAGAAACUCAGGCACUGAACAUCUGAAGGGACUUCAAAAUGGCAGCUUCCCGGUUGUUAGGCACCUCCUACCACAAACCCACUACCGGAGGUCUCGCUCCAAUACUACACAGGAUUCAUGUGGUGGAUACAGCUGUUUCAACGUGGUGAAACCUUACCAGGCUGGAUACUACAUAAUUCAUCCAGAAUUUGUGUCUGAGUGCCUAUGCUGAAAGUUUAACCACAUGUUCAAUAAACUGUACUGGAUUUAUCAGAGAUCUUCUGCAGUGUUUUGAUCUUGA